CGUAAGGUACCUCAUAUACCAUCACUAAUAUAAGUAAAAUUUAAGCGUAUUGUUUUAUCGUUUUUUAUUUUCUUUUGGAUCAGAGCCUAACUGUUCUGUUUGCAACAUAAAUCUGGAUAAACAAUAUUCUAAUUAGAAUUAAAAUUAAGUUAUAGGUUGCUAGGGGAUGUGUUGACCCGAUUGACUCGUGGUCCGAGCUUGACAAUUUUUAGACUUGACACGGCAUACCUUAAAGGCUCUAUUUGAGCAAAGGUUUAUUUCGAUAUAUUACUUGAUGUUUGAAGAGAAAUAAUCAGAUGGAAUUUAAAAUUGUGUUAUAUGGGAAGUAGACGUGGUAGACGCAACAACUUUCACAGCAGUUCCCAGAAGAUUUAUUCCUGGCUUGUCUGUGGAUCCACCACUAGUGUGCUCGCGUUUUUAUGUAGGCAACGUCAAAGUCAAGUAGCAUUUUCAUAUGCCAUUCGGGGAAGGUGACAAAGUGUUUUUGUUUCGUCAGCAUCAAAUAUUCAAAGUCUUGCCAAAUGGAUAUAUCACGAAUGUAUAAGUUUGAGAAUGGACCGUUAAAACCUCUGUCUGCAAUAAAUUUUUAAUCUUCAACAUCCGCACUUGUUCGUACUCUAUCGAGGCGAAGCAUGUUUGAUCCCGCAUGCCGCUGUUCUUGUGCUGCGCGCGUGGAAAGAGCUUACUGCGCUAGCCACAAACGCGAGAAAUAUAGUUUCGAAAAUUCGUCAAAAUUACAAUUUAGUACUUUCCAUUUCGAAAUGUAUAAAUUAGUGACUAAAAGCCUAAUGUAAAUUUUUCUUAAAAAAAAAAGUUGAAUAAACUGAAAAGUUCAAAAUGGAAAAAAAAUAUUUACCGUCAAAUAUGUACUUUUUGCUUAUAAAAUAACCGUCGAUAAAAUUAUAUCUCAUAGCAAAGUUGAGAAAAUAUGGCCAAGGCAGCAAAGCGAGCAUUGGCUAUUGCAGUAUGGCAGUAGUGCAAUACUCAAGGUCAGCACUUUAGCGCAAUUAACAGUAUUCCUCGAAUCGGAUUCAGCUGUUUUAUUUGUAUGAAAUAUCAAAGAGUUGAAUUAACUGAGCGAAUUCCCGGCAUCUGAUUAAAUUUUAGGAAAAUAUGGGUGAGAAAAUUGUACAAGCAAAUUUCAAAAGAACCAGCGUGAGCAGCACCUAAUCAUGUAUUUGUAUAUAAAUGUAUCUUUUAUUAAUGGAAAUAAUUAUAAUGUUAAAUUAGUUUUUUACAGUUAAUAUAUACAUAAUUGUUUAUUUAUUGAUAAAUUACAUUUGUAAUUAUCUGAGUUAUGAAGAACUAACCAUAAUAUUACAAAAUUGGAUAUAUGUAAUAAGCAAAUUAUUUUCCUUCGUGUUAAUUUGUUGAAAAGGAUAUAUUUUAACUGCCAAUAUUUUAUUUUAAACUUAUUUUUUAAAUAUGUCUUUAAGCUGCUAAUCAAUUUUAAUACUUAGUUUAAAGUGUAAAAAAAGUUAAAAUAAUAAAACAAGAAAUUAACAAGUAAGAAAGGGCUAAGUUCAAAUGUGAUCGAACAUUUUAUACUCUUGUAAAUUGCAAGGAUCAAAGCCGACAAAUACCUUCAGAUAUUGGCAAAACUUUAUAUUAUAAAAUGUAGCGAAAAGGUUUAUCUUCAUUGUUCGACGUAAGCGAGAAUGGAUUACAAUCAAAUUUGGUAUCAUAUUAAGUUAUUUUGAGGGUCAUUGGCCCACUUAGUUUUAUCCUCAAAUGAGAUAUAUGCGAUAUAAACUCAAAUGAAGAGGCUAAAAUUAAUAUAUUGAGUUGAUGUGAAAAACGGCAACCAAAGGAACCGAAUCUGGAAGUAUCGCAAGAAGACCGUACCAUCGAGAUCCGUAUGUUAGUGUUCAAGAAAGAAUCGCGGCUGUUGCAUCGUCAAUUCAGACAAAUCCAAGAGUUUCGACUAGCAACUUAUCGGCGCUACUUGGAGUUAGCAGACGGCCUACUUGGAGUUACAACGGAUAAUUCAUGAUGACUUAAGCCUGUUUCCGUACAAAGUUCAAAUAACAAGCCGAUUAAACCCUCUAGAUUUGCCUAUUCGUCUGGAAUUUUGUCAAAAAAAGAUUGCAAUGGCCGAAAAAGACAAAAACUUGAAAAAUUGAUUGGUUACGUCUGAUGUAAACAAGCAAAAUUGCCCUAUAUGAAGUGAAUCAAAUUCAGAAGUAAUCCACGAGACAGAACUUCACCCAGAAUGAAUCAUUGUGUAGUGCGCAGUUUCAUCAAGGUGUAUUGUCGGGCCAAACUACUUUGAAGAAAACGGUGUGACCGUUAUUUAAAGAUAAUAAAUGAGUUUUUUUACAUAGAACUGAGCCGAAGACGUAUCCCUUUCAAUAGCGUUUGGUUCCAACAAGAUGAAGCAACUGCACACAUAAUCAAGCCGGUUAUUGCGGAGCUCCAACGAAAAUUAGAAAAGAAAUUACUAUCAAGAAACUCCACUUUCCGCUGGCCUCCUACGCUAACCUGACUGCACCCGACUUUUUUAAUGGGGUAAUGUCAAACAAGAGGUGUACAAACAAAACCCUAAAAUCUGACUGAAUUGAAGCAGUCCAUUAAAUCGAUAAUUGAGGCAAUUCUGACUUCAAACCUUCAGGCUGCAAUGAAUAAUUUUCUAAUAAAAUAUGCGUGGCUGAGCAUGGAGGUCAUUUACGGUCCAUAAUUUUUAAAAAUAAUUAAUUGUGUAAAAUAAAAUAAAAUUUGCUAUACAAUAAAAAGUGAAUAAAUAAUAGCC